GGGGAAUUAGCUCAGUUGGGAGAGCGCUUGACUGGCAGUCAAGAGGCCAGGGGUUCAAGUCCCCUAUUCUCCACCA
rnacentral:tRNA from 2 species